rnacentral:rRNA from 1 species
UACGAAGGGGGCUAGCGUUGUUCGGAAUUACUGGGCGUAAAGCGUGCGCAGGCGGCUGCUCAAGUCAGGGGUGAAAUCCUGGAGCUCAACUCCAGAACUGCCUUUGAUACUGAAGAUCUUGAGUUCGGGAGAGGUGAGUGGAACUGCGAGUGUAGAGGUGAAAUUCGUAGAUAUUCGCAAGAACACCAGUGGCGAAGGCGGCUCACUGGCCCGAUACUGACGCUGAGGCACGAAAGCGUGGGGAGCAAACAGG